rnacentral:rRNA from 1 species
CGCGUAGGUGGUUUGUUAAGCGAGAUGUGAAAGCCCCGGGCUUAACCUGGGAACGGCAUUUCGAACUGGCAGGCUAGAGUGUGGUAGAGGGUAGUGGAAUUUCCUGUGUAGCGGUGAAAUGCGUAGAUAUAGGAAGGAACAACAGUGGCGAAGGCGGCUACCUGGACCAACACUGACACUGAGGUGCGAAAGCGUGGGGAGCAAACA